UUUUUGGUUUUAUUAAACUUUAUAUGCAAAAAUGCGUAUCCUGAAAUCUGCAGUGAUGAAUUUAGGCAAUUUCUUACGUGCAAAUUAUGGGUUUAUGUCUUCACUUUAACAUUCUUUACAAGGGUUUUAGUUGUUAUAUACCACAACCGCUUCCAUUUGCUCAAUAUUUAAAUGAUUUUCCGCCACGAGGUGAUUAGGUGAGUUGGGCUCAAAUUAACUGAGACGCCAAUCUCAAGUAGAUUUAAUUUUGAUAAAUGACUUAAAGCUUAAAAUUAAAUAUUUUGCAUGCUACUUUUGGACUCCAGCCGGGAUUUGCAGAUAUCAAGGUCAACCCAUAUUUAUUUUUAUAUCAACAAAA